UACGGGGGGAGCAAGCGUUGUUCGGAUUUACUGGGCGUAAAGGGCGCGUAGGCGGCCAGCACAAGUCAGUUGUGAAAUCUCCGGGCUUAACUCGGAAAGGUCAACUGAUACUGUGCGGCUAGAGUGCGGAAGGGGCAACUGGAAUUCUCGGUGUAGCGGUGAAAUGCGUAGAUAUCGAGAGGAACACCUGCGGCGAAGGCGGGUUGCUGGGCCGACACUGACGCUGAGGCGCGAAAGCCAGGGGAGCGAACGGG
rnacentral:rRNA from 1 species